rnacentral:rRNA from 1 species
GUAGGGGGCGAGCGUUGUCCGGAUUUAUUGGGCGUAAAGAGCUCGUAGGCGGUUUGGUAAGUCACGGGUGAAAUCUCCACGCUCAACGUGGAGGCGCCCCGUGAGACUGCUAUGACUAGAGUCCGGUAGAGGAGUGUGGAAUUCCCGGUGUAGCGGUGAAAUGCGCAGAGAUCGGGAGGAACACCCGUAGCGAAGGCGGCACUCUGGGCCGGUACUGACGCUCAGGAGCGAAAGCGUGGGGAGCAAACAGGAUUAGAUACCCUGGUAGUCCACGCCGUAAACGUUGGGCACUAGGUGUGGGGCUCUAUCGACGGGCUCCGUGCCGUAGCUAACGCAUUAAGUGCCCCGCCUGGGGAGUACGGCCGCAAGGCUAAA